rnacentral:rRNA from 1 species
GGGUUGUGAGGUUAAGCGACUAAGCGUACACGGUGGAUGCCCUGGCAGUCAGAGGCGAUGAAGGACGUGCUAAUCUGCGAUAAGCGUCGGUAAGGUGAUAUGAACCGUUAUAACCGGCGAUUUCCGAAUGGGGAAACCCAGUGUGAUUCGUCACACUAUCAUUAACUGAAUCCAUAGGUUAAUGAGGCGAACCGGGGGAACUGAAACAUCUAAGUACCCCGAGGAAAAGAAAUCAACCGAGAUUCCCCCAGUAGCGGCGAGCGAACGGGGAGGAGCCCAGAG